GACGAACGCUGGCGGCGUGCUUAACACAUGCAAGUCGAACGGUGAACCAGAGCUUGCUCUGGGGAUCAGUGGCGAACGGGUGAGUAACACGUGGGCAACCUGCCCCAGACUCUGGGAUAACCUCGGGAAACCGAUGCUAAUACCGGAUACGACCACUUCGGACAUCCGACGGUGGUGGAAAGUUUUUCGGUCUGGGAUGGGCCCGCGGCCUAUCAGCUAGUUGGUGGGGUAAUGGCCUACCAAGGCGACGACGGGUAGCCGGCCUGAGAGGGUGACCGGCCACACUGGGACUGAGACACGGCCCAGACUCCUACGGGGGGCAGCAGUGGGGAAUCUUGCACAAUGGGCGAAAGCCUGAUGCAGCGACGCCGCGUGAGCGAAGAAGGCCUUCGGGUUGUAAAGCUCUGUCUGGAGGGACGAAGGAAGUGACGGUACCUCCGGAGGAAGCCACGGCUAACUACGUG
rnacentral:rRNA from 1 species